CCUGCCGCCGCUUCUCGUCCUCGUAAAACUUGGGGAAAUUCUCAUUUUUGUGGCACGGUACUGAAAGCCCCCUUCGGAGAGAAGAGUUCUUGAAAAGCCGGAGCUGCCCCUGGUGCUUGUUUGUUCUCAGCAGAGAUAAUCACCCUCUGGAAGAGCUGGAAAAUACACAACCCUACUGGUGAUGUGGAAGAAAGCUGGAAACCAUCCUAAACGCAAUGUGACUCCAUCGACAGACCUCACAGUGGAGUUAAAAAGGUUGCAUCCUGACCAUAGGCUGCCUGGUGGAAGAUUUCCAAUCAGCUGGCAGCUGGAGGCCUUCUGUGGCUGCUUCCCCAGGGCUGAACAUUGUUUGGGUGAAGGGAUGGUGUGGGGAGCACCAGAGGAGCCAUCACUGUCAACCUAAGGUAGAACACUCAGAGAAAGGCAGGCUUGAUAUGCGUUUUGAGAUCUACAGUUGUUAAAUCAUGAUUUAUUUAAAUUGUUACUUGCAGUCUCAGCUAUUAAGGGAGCACUUUGUAGGUUUCAGAAGACUGUCUGGUUUCAGAGCUGCUUGUCGCAGGCCUUUCUCAGCUCUUAUGUUGUAAACAGUGUUGAACUUCUGCUUUUCUUGUGUGUUUUUUGGACACCAUUCUCUGAUAUGCAUUUCAUCGUCUCCUAUAUUCCUUUCCCCUGCCUCUCUGAAGUUUGAGUGCUGACAUCAAUCUUUUAUUUUUGCCAAUACUGCUUGUGUUUAAAUUCCAACAACAAAAUAAAAAGAAACUGCAUGA